GAUGAAUACUAGGUGUAGGAGGUAUCGACCCCUUCUGUGCCGCAGUUAACACAAUAAGUAUUCCGCCUGGGGAGUACGGUCGCAAGAUUAAAACUCAAAGGAAUUGACGGGGGCCCGCACAAGCAGCGGAGCAUGUGGUUUAAUUCGAAGCAACGCGAAGAACCUUACCUAGACUUGACAUCCCCUGAAUUACUCGUAACGGAGGAAGCCCUUCGGGGCAGGGAGACAGGUGGUGCAUGGUUGUCGUCAGCUCGUGUCGUGAGAUGUUGGGUUAAGUCCCGCAACGAGCGCAACCCUUAUCAUUAGUUGCUACCAUUAAGUUGAGCACUCUAAUGAGACCGCCCGGGUUAACCGGGAGGAAGGUGGGGAUGACGUCAAAUCAUCAUGCCCCUUAUGUCUAGGGCUACACACGUGCUACAAUGGUGAGUACAGAGAGAUGCAAGACCGCGAGGUGGAGCUAAACUCAAAAACUCAUCCCAGUUCGGAUUGUAGGCUGAAACUCGCCUACAUGAAGCCGGAGUUGCUAGUAAUCGCGAAUCAGCAUGUCGCGGUGAAUACGUUCCCGGGCCUUGUACACACCGCCCGUCACACCAUGAGAGUUGGCAACACCCGAAGUCCGUGAGGUAACCGUAAGGAGCCAGCGGCCGAAGGUGGGGUCAAUGAUUGGGGUGAAGUCGUAACAAGG
rnacentral:rRNA from 13 species